rnacentral:rRNA from 1 species
UACAGAGGGGGCAAGCGUUAUUCGGAAUUAUUGGGCGUAAAGGGCGCGUAGGCGGUCAGCACAAGUCAGUUGUGAAAUCUCCGGGCUUAACCCGGAAAGGUCAACUGAUACUGUGCGACUAGAGUGCGGAAGGGGCAACUGGAAUUCUCGGUGUAGCGGUGAAAUGCGUAGAUAUCGAGAGGAACACCUGCGGCGAAGGCGGGUUGCUGGGCCGACACUGACGCUGAUGCGCGAAAGCCAGGGGAGCGAACGGG